GGGGCUGUAGCUCAAUUGGUAGAGCGCUGCUUUUGCAAGGCAGAGGUCAGGGGUUCGAUUCCCCUCAGCUCCAC
rnacentral:tRNA from 3 species